UACGUAGGGUGCGAGCGUUAAUCGGAAUUACUGGGCGUAAAGCGCACGUAGGCGGCUUUCUAAGUCGGGGGUGAAAUCCUGGAGCUCAACUCCAGAACUGCCCUCGAUACUGGAAAGCUCGAGUCCGGGAGAGGUGAGUGGAACUGCGAGUGUAGAGGUGAAAUUCGUAGAUAUUCGCAAGAACACCAGUGGCGAAGGCGGCUCACUGGCCCGGUACUGACGCUGAGGUGCGAAAGCGUGGGGAGCAAACAGG
rnacentral:rRNA from 1 species